UCCCCAGCUGUUGUUGGACUACAACUCCCAUCAUGUCUAGUCGGCAGCACCAGUGAUCAGAGAUGAUGGGAGCUGCACUCCAACAACAGCUGGGAA